rnacentral:snRNA from 1 species
AUACUUACCUGGACGGGGUCAAUGGGCAAUCAAUAAGACCCAUGGCCUAGGUUGGUGACCUCCAUUGCACUUUGGAGGGGUGCCCGCCUAAGGUUGACCCAAGUGGUCGAGCCUAUGUCAUAAUUUGUGACAGCGGGGUCUUGCGUUCGCGCAGCCCCUAC